rnacentral:rRNA from 1 species
UACGUAGGGUGCAAGCGUUAAUCGGAAUUACUGGGCGUAAAGCGUGCGCAGGCGGUGAUGUAAGACAGAUGUGAAAUCCCCGGGCUCAACCUGGGAACUGCAUUUGUGACUGCAUCGCUGGAGUGCGGUAGAGGGGGAUGGAAUUCCGCGUGUAGCGGUGAAAUGCGUAGAUAUCUGGAGGAACACCGGUGGCGAAGGCGGCAUCCUGGACCGGCAUUGACGCUGAGGCGCGAAAGCCAGGGGAGCAAACGGG